AGUGCAGAUAGGACACAGGAAAUACACCGCCAACUUAUGACAAUAUACUCCUCACUGUGACAGAUCCAUGCACGUCAUUACCCCACCUGCUAACAGUAAAUGCAACAUAUGGGAGGUACUCGUAUUACAAAUUAAACAUGACAAAAAACCCAAGCACUGUACCUAGGGCAAGAAUCGGAACAGAUGGAGAGGCUGGGGGCGUCAUAUCCCUUUGAUUGGAGUUCAG